AGUUAUGGCAGCCCUGAAAGCUCGAGUUCUACUUUUCUACUGUUCCUUGAUGUUUCGACAGUUCCUCAUCGAAUAUGGAACCAAGGGAUGAUGAAGGGGAUUUCUCCCUGAGUUCCAUCCUUCCCUUAGUCAGCCAGGUUUGGGAAACUAUUCAGACCAAUUUCCACGGUUUUCGAGAUGACACAUACUUGCAGAAGUUCCGAAGUUUGUUGGUUCACCAAAUCAAAAAGAACAGUUCUCAUUAUGUCUCGUUCGGACUUCACCUGAUCAUCCGCCGAGAUUUUCGUCAAUCCUUGUCUUUCCUCCGAUAUGUGCUUUUAUUAUACGCCCAAAUAGUCGGCAAACAUCCUCAGGCAAGGGAAGACAUUCAAAAAUUCUUGGAAAUGAAUCCGGAGAGUGUGGCCCAGGUUUAUUCUUCUGUGGAAUUCCUUGAAUUAAUGGACGUCUUGGUCUCGUCUGAACCGCUUGAUCAGAGGGUUUACCUUGCGUUGGCCCAAGAAAAUAUCUUGAAAUUGUUGGCUAACCCCCAUGAACAUCAACCGAAGAAUGUGUUUUGGCGGAGAUCAUUCUUCAAGUUGAACUUGACCGUAUUGAGAAAGGUUUUUAUAUUUUUUUCGACAGUAGCUCAUGGUCCAGAUUCCUUCCCGAGACUCUUGGUGUUCCAUCCUAACCUCGCAUUCAAAAGAAGCCUCUUCAUGGAAUUCAUCAUGGGGGUUAUUCAGCAUCCGGGUUUACCGGAACUCAAUCACUCGCCUGCAUUCGUCGAUUUCAUGCGGGAUUGGAGUCAGAGCCCGGAAAUCCGGGUUCAUGCGGACUGUCAAAUUAUCUAUGGCAUCUCAAUCUGGAAAGACGUGCAAAGUUGUGUGGAACCCUAUUUCUAUCCCGAGUUAAAGCUGACAACGCGCAACGAUCUCCGAUCAGUCUUGGAGCCUCUAUCGACCCUGAUUAAUAGAGAGCUGGUGUGCUACAAGGACAAUUCCGUCGUUCCUAAACACAUCAUUAAUGAUAUGAAGCAAAACCUGAAGACUCGAACCAACAUGUGGCGGAAUGUGAUCAUUUUACGAUUAUUCACCUUUCCGGAAGUGAUUGUGGAUCAUCUGAAAGUAAUUCUAUCAGGAGAUCAUGAUCUGAGCGACCGAGAAGUUCCAGAUUUUAUUCGAUACUUAUGUUACUAUACGAUUUAUGGUUCCAUUCUGGAGUCAAGCUUUGCAUUGCCUAAGAAUCGUUCUGAGGUCAUUGGGUUACUGAUUGAACUUUCUUUGAGGAAAGAUCUUGCCUUGAAAAGUCGGGUUGAAAGUCUGAAAACCUUAAAUCAAAUAAUUUCCUUUGGAGGAAGUAGCAGGCCGCCUUUUGAGAAGUAUUUUGACACAAUUUGGAUUCUCGCCACCGAUGAGCAUUGGGAGAUUGUUGACGAGUUUCUAGAACUAUUGGCAUGUGCUACGGAUCAUCUGACGAUAACUCAGUCCGAUUUGGAUAAGAUAUUGAAUUUCUUAAAGAUCUGCUUGGACCAUGAGAGCAGCUUCAUUCGAGCUAAUGUUUUCGUCGUUUUUUCAAAGAUGAUCUUUUAUAAAGACAAUCUUCGACUGAUUUUGAAAACCAAGAUGUCCAUCCCACUUCAAGUUCGUGAAGUUUUGGAACAUGAGACGGAAGCUGUGGUACGAAGGGAAGCCGUGAGUUGUCUUUCCGCUUAUUCCCGCGGUGUCUUGCAUUUCAACCCGCCAAAUUUAUUCCUGUGUGAAACCAUGUACUUGGCUGUCUUGGACCCUGAUUGGGAAGUGAAAACAAUCGCCCUCGAGUCAUUCUGGGCAAAUCCCAUUAAAAAUUGUAAUCUUGAUCCCAAUUUCAUGAGUGAGACUUUUAUGGUGAACGUUUGCCUCUUUGUGCUAGAGGAUCAUGAUAAGCGGAAUCGAAAGUUUUUCUCAUACUUCAUCAAAAGACUCAUGAGUGACGAUCCAACGGCGUUUGGUUCCUCAAACGUCGAAGGUUAUGACUCCAUAAAGGUUGAAAUUGAGCCCAAGAACAAGUACUGGAUUUUGAGGGAGCUCUCGUCUAAUGCGAAACAUGCUCAAUGCAAGGACAUCAUCCGAAUUCCUCCUAAGGAGCCUCUUUCUGUUUUAAUGGAUAAAGUCAAAGCUCUCGAUUACAACGAUUGGAUUGGCGAGUUCGAUUACCAAAACAACCCUGCGAAAGAACUCAAAGAUGUCAUGCUAGAUAUUCUCCAUUAUGACGGUCAAUCAGAGUCCGAAGUGAACACUGUGGACUGUGUUUAGGUCUUGGGUAUCUCUUGCCUUGUUAUCUGUAUUUCGCACAAUAAACUCUUAACGGACUUCCCUGGUCAAUCAAUCGAGACAUGAACUCUUCAAACUCAAGCUUUGCUUGCAAGGAAUACGUUGAGUAGUUCAAUGUCUGUCGUCAUGACGACUCAGUAUCGAGAAGUGCUGAGGUUACUUCUUGGAUCAAUUCUAGUUCUGGGGGUUCCAGCCGACCUUCCCCCAUGUGAAGAGCCUUUCAUCUACUUUCCUGGGGUUGGUUGCAUGACCGAUCCCCUCAUCCCUCAUCCCAUGAAUUAUACCCAAGCCAUUGAGUAUUGCCAAUCCAUCGGAGGUUAUCUCUUGGAACCUAGCACGGACGAGAUUCAGGGGUUCAUCUUCGAUAACCUCUUUGGCAGUGUCGAAUAUGAUUAUUGGUUGUCCUUGAGACGCAAUGGGUCAGAGUUCAUAUGGGAUCACUCCCAACAACCCCUCUCAUUUGAUGCUUGGGGUGUGGAUGAACCCAAUCUGAACCAGGAUUGUGCAAUGGCAUCGGUUGAGCAUUCCUUCUUUUGGGCAACGAGUCAAUGCGAUGUGGAGAGAGGCGUGAUUUGCAACGCGCCAGAGCGAUUAGGGUUGUGUUCGGGUCCAAAGUGGACAUUUGUGGAACAAUUGGAUCAAUGUUUCCUAUGGGAUACGGAUUCGAUGUCUUGGGAGAAUGCCGUAGAUUUCUGCAAAUCGCAAGGAGAUCGAGUGCAUUUGGUUGAAAUAUUGAAUUCAAAGAAGAACGAGAUCUUGAAAGAGGCCCUUUCAAAUGAUCCCAUCGCUUAUUCUAAAGGAUCUUUCUGGAUGGGUCUGAAUGACAGGGAAAGAGAAGGGCAAUACAUUUGGGAGAAUUCGGGCUUAGAGGCAAGCUUCUUUGAUUGGAGUGAGAAUCAACCUGCAGGGGAUGCACAAGAUUGUACUGUGAUGUAUUAUGGAGGAAAUUUCCAAUGGUACGAUUCGGAUUGUCCUAGCUUCUUUUAUCCAUUGUGUGAAGAAGAUGCUGAAUAAAUCAUCAAUCGGAGAACCAUUUAUCCGUUCAACUCUA